rnacentral:rRNA from 1 species
GAUGAACGCUGGCGGCGUGCCUAAUACAUGCAAGUCGAGCGAACGGACGAGAAGCUUGCUUCUCUGAUGUUAGCGGCGGACGGGUGAGUAACACGUGGAUAACCUACCUAUAAGACUGGGAUAACUUCGGGAAACCGGAGCUAAUACCGGAUAAUAUUUUGAACCGCAUGGUUCAAAAGUGAAAGACGGUCUUGCUGUCACUUAUAGCUGGAUCCGCGCUGCAUUAGCUAGUUGGUAAGGUAACGGCUUACCAAGGCAACGAUGCAUAGCCGACCUGAGAGGGUGAUCGGCCACACUGGAACUGAGACACGGUCCAGACUCCUACGGGAGGCAGCAGUAGGGAAUCUUCCGCAAUGGGCGAAAGCCUGACGGAGCAACGCCGCGUGAGUGAUGAAGGUCUUCGGAUCGUAAAACUCUGUUAUUAGGGAAGAACAGAUGUGUAAGUAACUGUGCACAUCUUGACGGUACCUAAUCAGAAAGCCACGGCUAACUACGUG